rnacentral:rRNA from 1 species
CCCUUAGAUGUCCUGGGCUGCACGCGUGCUACAAUGAUACGUGCAACGAGUUAAUCCUGCUCUGGAAGGAGUGGGUAAUCUUAUGAAUGCGUAUCGUGCUUGGGAUUGACCAUUGUAAUUAUUGGUCAUGAACGAGGAAUUCCUAGUAAGCACAAGUCAUCAGCUUGUGCUGAUUACGUCCCUGCCCUUUGUACACACCGCCCGUCGCUCCUACCGAUUGAGUGUUCCGGUGAAUUAUUCGGACUGCAACAGUUAUCUGUCGCGGAAAGUCUUGUGAACCUUAACACUUAGAGGAAGGAAAAGUCGUAACA